AGAAAAAGUGUGGGAUUUCAAGGGAUUACGCUAAUAAAGGUGGUGAAUCUUCCGCUAAGGGCAAAGAAAUUGUACCCGAGGAUCGGUAGUUAGAGUACUUUAGAAAUUUGACUCCCGAAAUACUUGUUGCAGUGGGUGGGUUCUGUGGACUAGGCUUUUUGAGGGGCACAAAAUCCGGUUAUAUAUGUACCUCGAUCGGAGAGGAGCGUAGGGAAUCUCCUGAGGUAUGGUUAGAGUUCACGUCA